rnacentral:tRNA from 13 species
GGGGGCAUAGCUCAGCUGGGAGAGCGCUUGAAUGGCAUUCAAGAGGUCAGCGGUUCGAUCCCGCUUGUCUCCACCA